rnacentral:rRNA from 1 species
UAUGGGUUGUAAACUGCUUUUAAGGGAAUAAAGUGAGCCUCGUGAGGCUUUUUGCAUGUACCUUAUGAAUAAGGACCGGCUAAUUCCGUGCCAGCAGCCGCGGUAAUACGGAAGGUCCGGGCGUUAUCCGGAUUUAUUGGGUUUAAAGGGAGCGUAGGCCGGAGAUUAAGCGUGUUGUGAAAUGUAGAUGCUCAACAUCUGCACUGCAGCGCGAACUGGUUUCCUUGAGUACGCACAAAGUGGGCGGAAUUCGUGGUGUAGCGGUGAAAUGCUUAGAUAUCACGAAGAACUCCGAUUGCGAAGGCAGCUCACUGGAGCGCAACUGACGCUGAGGCUCGAAAGUGCGGGUAUCGAACAGGAUUAGAUACCCUGGUAGUCCGCACGGUAAACGAUGGAUGCCCGCUGUUGGUCUGAAUAGGUCAGCGGCCAAGCGAAAGCAUUAAGCAUCCCACCUGGGGAGUACGCCGGCAACG